rnacentral:rRNA from 1 species
GUGCCAGCAGCCGCGGUAAUACGUAGGGGGCAAGCGUUGUCCGGAUUUAUUGGGCGUAAAGAGCGUGUAGGCGGCCAUGCAGGUCAGCUGUGAAAACUCGAGGCUCAACCUCGAGACGUCGGUUGAAACCGUAUGGCUAGAGUCCGGAAGAGGAGAGUGGAAUUCCCGGUGUAGCGGUGAAAUGCGCAGAUAUCGGGAAGAACACCUAUGGCGAAGGCAGCUCUCUGGGACGGUACUGACGCUGAGACGCGAAAGCGUGGGGAGCAAACAGGAUUAGAUACCCUGGUAGUCC